CCCUUGUGGUCACCUUUGGGGUCACCUUUGAGGGCAUCUUUGGGGGCAUCUUUGGGGGCACCUUCAGGGAGAACCCUGUGGUCACCUUUGGGGGCAUCUUUGGGGUCACCUUUGAUGGCAUCUUUGGUGUCACCCUCAUGGUCACCCCAGGGAUCACCCUUGUGGUCACCUGUGAAGUCAUCCUUGGUGUCACCCUCAUGGUCACCCUUGGGGGCACCUUUGGGGGCAUCUUUGAGGUCACCUUUGAAGUCACCUUUAAGGUCACCUUUGGGGGCAUCUUUGAGGUCACCUUUGGGGUCACCUUUGGGGUCAUCUUUGAGGGCAUCUUUGGGGUCACCUUUGGGGUCACCUUUGGGGGCAUCUUUGAAGUCACCUUUGAAGUCACCUUUGAGGUCACCUUUGGGGGCAUCUUUGAUGGCAUUUUUGGGGUCAUCCUCAUGGUCACCUUUGGGGUCACCUUCAAAGUUGCCUUUGGGGUCACCUUCGUGGUCACCUUCGGGGACAACCCUGUGGUCACCUUUGAUGGCAUCUUUGGGGUCACCCUUGGGGUCACCCCAGGGAUCAACUUAGGGGUCACCUUUGGGGGCAUCUUUGGGGGCAUCUCUGGGGGCAACAUUGAGUCACCUUCGUGGUCACCUUUGGGGGCAUCUUUGGUGUCACCCUUGGAGUCACCCUUGUGGUCACCCUUGUGGGCACCUUCAGGGUCACCUUUGGGGACACUUUGGGGCUGUCUUUGGGGUCACCCUUGGGGUCACCUUCAAAGUUGCCUUUGGGGUCACCCUUAUGGUCAUCUUUGGGGUCACCUUUGAGGGCAACUUUGGGGUCACCUUUGAUGGCAUCUUUGGUGUCACCCUCAUGGUCACUCUUGGGGUCACCUUUGGGGGCAACUUUGGGGUCACCCUUGGGGUCACCUGUGAGGUCACCUGCGGGGUCACCCUCAUGGUCACCCAUGUGGUCACCUUCAGGGUCACCUUUGGGGUCACCUUUGGGGUCACUCUCAUGGUCACCUUUGGGGUCACCCUUGGGGUCACCCUCAUGGUCGCCCACAUGGUCACCCUUGGGGUCACCUCCAAAGUUGCCUUUGGGGUCACCUUCGUGGUCACCCCUGGGGUCACCUUUGGGGGCAUCUUUGAGGUCACCUGUGAGGUCACCCUCAUGGUUACCCUUGUGAGCACCUUCAGGGUCACCUUUAGGGGCACUUUGGGGUUGUCCUUGGGGUCACCCUUGGGGUCACCCUUGGGGUCACCUUCAAAGUUGCCUUUGGGGUCACCCUUACGGUCAGCUUUGGGGUCACCCUUGUGGUCGCCCUUGUGGUCACUUUUUGGGGUCACCUUGGGGGCACCUUCAAGGUCACCCUUGGGGUCACCUGUGAAGUCACCCUUGGGGUCACCCUCAUGGUCACCCUUGUGGGCAUCUUUGGGGGUAGCUUUGAUGGCAUCUUUGGGGUCACCUUUGAAGUCACCUUUGAGGUCACCUUUGGGGGCAUCUUUGGGGACACCUUUGAGGUCACCUUUGGGGUCACUCUCAUGGUCACCUUUGAGGUCACCUUUGGGGGCAUCUUUGGGGGCACCUUUGAGGUCACCUUUGAUGGCAUCUUUGGGGUCACCUUCAUGGUCGCCUUUGGGGUCACCUUCAAAGUUGCCUUUGGGGUCACCUUCGUGGUCACCUUUGGGGCAUCUUCAGGGACAAACUUGUGGUCACCUUUGGGGUCACCUUUGAGGGCACCUUUGGGGUCACCCUUGUGGACACCUUUGGGGUCAACUUUUAGGGUCACCUUUGGGGUCACCUUCAAGGUCACCCUCGUGGUCACCUUUGGGUCACUUUGGUGCCACCUUUGGGUCACUUUGGUGCCACCUUUGGGUCACUUUGGUGCCACCUUUGGGUCACUUUGGGUCACUUUGGGGUCACCUUUGGGUCACUUUGGUGCCACCUUUGGGUCACUUUGGGGCCACUUUGGUGCCACCUUUGGGUCACUUUGGUGCCACCUUUGGGUCACUUUGGGUCACUUUGGGGUCACCUUUGGGCCUCUUUGGUGUCACCUUUGGGGUCACUUUGGUGUCACCUUUGGGUCACUUUGGUGCCACCUUUGGGUCACUUUGGUACCACCUUUGGGUCACUUUUGGGUCACUUUGGUGUCACUUUCGUGUCACUUUGGUGCCACCUUUGGGUCACUUUUUUGUCACCUUUGGGUCACUUUGGUGUCACCUUUGGGUCACUUUUGGGUCACUUUGGUGCCACCUUUGGGUCACUUUUUUGGUCACUUUGGUGCCACCUUUGGGUCACUUUUGGGUCCUCUUUUGGUCACUUUCGGGUCACCUUUUGGUCACUUUGGUGUCACCUUUGGGUCACUUUUGGUGUCACUUUGGUGCCACCCUUGGUCACUUCCGGGUCACUUUGGUGUCACCUUUGGGUCACUUCGGUGUCACCUUUGGGGUCACUUUUGUGUCACUUUGGUGUCACCUUUGGGUCACUUUGGUGUCACUUUGGGUCACCUUUGGGUCACUUUGGUGUCACUUUGGGUCACCUUUGGGUCACUUUGGUGUCACUUUGGUGUCACCUUUGGGUCACUUUGGUGCCACCUUUGGGUCACUUUGGUGUCACUUUGGGUCACCUUUGGGUCACUUUGGUGUCACUUUGGGUCACCUUUGGGUCACUUUGGUGUCACUUUGGUGCCACCUUUGGUGUCACCUUUGGGUCACUUUGGUGUCACUUUUGGGGUCACUUUGGGGUCACUUUUGUGUCACCUUUGGGUCACUUUGGUGCCACCCUUUGGUCACUUUGGUGCCACCUUUGGGUCACUUUGGUGUCACUUUGGGUCACCUUUGGGUCACUUUGGUGUCACUUUGGGUCACCUUUGGGUCACUUUGGUGUCACUUUGGUGCCACCUUUGGUGUCACCUUUGGGUCACUUUGGUGUCACUUUUGGGGUCACUUUGGGGUCACUUUUGUGUCACCUUUGGGUCACUUUGGUGCCACCCUUUGGUCACUUUGGUGCCACCUUUGGGUCACUUUGGUGUCACUUUGGGUCACUUUGGUGUCACUUUGGUGUCACCUUUGGGUCACUUUGGUGUCACCUUUGUGUCACCUUUUGGUCACUUUGGUGUCACCUUUGGGUCACUUUGGUGCCACCUUUGGGUCACUUUGGUGCCACCUUUGGGUCACUUUGGGGUCACUUUGGUGCCACCUUUGGGUCACUUUGGGGUCACUUUGGUGCCACCUUUGGGUCACUUUGGUGUCACCUUUGGGUCACUUUGGUGCCACCUUUGUGUCACCUUUGGGCCACUUUGGUGUCACCUUUGGGUCACUUUGGGGUCACCUUUGGGUCACUUUGGUGUCACCUUUGGGUCACCUUUGUGUCACUUUCGUGUCACUUUGGUGUCACCUUUGGGUCACUUUGGGGUCACUUUUUGGUGCCACCUUUGGGGUCACCUUUUGGUCACUUUUGUGUCACUUUUGUGUCACCUUUGGGUCACUUUGGUGUCACCUUUUGUGUCACCUUUGGGUCACUUUGGUGUCACCUUUGGUGUCACCUGUGGGUCACUUUGGUGUCACCUGUGGGUCACUUUGGUGUCACCUUUGGGUCACUUUGGGGUCACCUUUGGGUCACUUUGGGGUCACUUUGGUGCCACCUUUGGGUCACUUUGGUGCCACCUUUGGGUCACUUUGGGGUCACUUUGGGUCACCUUUGUGUCACCUUUGGGUCACUUUGGUGUCACCUUUGGGUCACUUUGGUGCCACCUUUGGGUCACUUUGGUGUCACUUUGGGUCACCUUUGGGUCACUUUGGUGUCACUUUGGGUCACCUUUGGGUCACUUUGGUGUCACUUUGGUGCCACCUUUGGUGUCACCUUUGGGUCACUUUGGUGUCACUUUUGGGGUCACUUUGGGGUCACUUUUGUGUCACCUUUGGGUCACUUUGGUGCCACCCUUUGGUCACUUUGGUGCCACCUUUGGGUCACUUUGGUGUCACUUUGGGUCACCUUUGGGUCACUUUGGUGUCACUUUGGGUCACCUUUGGGUCACUUUGGUGUCACUUUGGUGCCACCUUUGGUGUCACCUUUGGGUCACUUUGGUGUCACUUUUGGGGUCACUUUGGGGUCACUUUUGUGUCACCUUUGGGUCACUUUGGUGCCACCUUUGGGUCACUUUGGUGCCACCUUUGGGUCACCUUUGGGUCACUUUGGGGUCACUUUGGUGUCACCUUUGGGUCACUUUGGUGUCACCUUUGUGUCACCUUUUGGUCACUUUGGUGUCACCUUUGGGUCACUUUGGUGCCACCUUUGGGUCACUUUGGUGCCACCUUUGGGUCACUUUGGGGUCACUUUGGUGCCACCUUUGGGUCACUUCCGGGUCACUUUUGUGCCACCUUUGGGUCACUUUGGUGUCACCUUUGGGUCACUUUGGUGCCACUUUGGUGUCACCUUUGGGUCACUUUGGUGUCACCUUUGGGUCACUUUGGGGUCACCUUUGGGUCACUUUGGUGUCACCUUUGGGUCACCUUUGUGUCACUUUCGUGUCACUUUGGUGUCACCUUUGGGUCACUUUGGGGUCACUUUUUGGUGCCACCUUUGGGGUCACCUUUUGGUCACUUUUGUGUCACUUUUGUGUCACCUUUGGGUCACUUUGGUGUCACCUUUUGUGUCACCUUUGGGUCACUUUGGUGUCACCUUUGGUGUCACCUGUGGGUCACUUUGGUGUCACCUGUGGGUCACUUUGGUGUCACCUUUGGGUCACUUUGGGGUCACCUUUGGGUCACUUUGGGGUCACUUUGGUGCCACCUUUGGGUCACUUUGGUGCCACCUUUGGGUCACUUUGGGGUCACUUUGGUGCCACUUUGUGUCACUUUGGUGCCACCUUUGGGGUCACUUUUGGGUCACUUUGGUGUCACCUUUGGGUCACUUUGGGGUCACCUUUGGGUCACCUUUGUGUCACCUUUGGGUCACCUUUGUGUCACUUUGGGGUCACCUUUGGGUCACUUUGGUGCCACCUUUUGGUCACUUUCGUGUCAACUUUGGGUCACCUUUGGGUCACUUUGGUGUCACUUUUGGGUCACCUUUGGGUCACUUUUGGUGCCACCCUUUUGUCCCUUGGGAUCACUUUUGUGUCACCUUUGGGUCACUUUGGUGCCACCUUUGGGUCAACUUUGUGUCACCUUAGGUCACUUUUGGGUCCCUUUUGGUGUCACUUUUGGGUCACUUUGGGGUCACUUUGUGUCACUUUGGUGUCACCUUUGGGUCACUUUGGUGCCACCUUUGGGUCACUUUGGGGUCACCUUUGGUGCCACCUUUGGGUCACUUUGGUGCCACCUUUGGGUCACUUUGGUGCCACCUUUGGGUCACCUCUGGGUCACUUUGGUGUCACCUUUGGGUCACUUUGGGGUCACUUUGGUGCCACCUUUGGGUCACUUUGGUGCCACCUUUGGGUCACUUUGGUGCCACCUUUGGGUCACUUUGGGGUCACAUUUUGGUCACUUUGGGGUCACCUUUGGGGUCACUUUGGGGUCACUUUGGGGUCACUUUGGUGUCACUUUUGUGUCACCUUUGGGUCACUUUGGUGCCACCUUUGGGUCACUUUGGUGUCACCUUUGGGUCACUUUUGUGUCACCUUUGUGUCACUUUGGGGUCACCUUUGGGUCACUUUUGUGUCACCUUUGGGUCACUUUGGUGUCACUUUGCCACGUCCGGUCGGGUUUGGUUCCCCCAAAUUCAAAAAUUUUGGGAAAAAAAAUAAUCAAAAAUUCCAAAGAAAAUCGGGAAAUUUUUAAUUAAAAAAAAUUUAAUUAAAAAAAAUAAAUUAAAAAAAAAUUUAAUUUUUAGUUUUUAUAGAAUAAAAUCUAAAAGGAUUUAAAUUCCCAAGAGAAUUUGGAAAUAAAGAGGAAAAUCCAAUUAAAAUUUAAAUUUUUUGGGGUGAAAAUGAAAUAAAAAUUAGAAUUUCAUGGCAGAAAAAUCAAAUAAAAAUUAGAAUUUCGUUUUAAUAUAAUAAUUUAAUUUAUUUAAUGUAAAUAAGUUCAAGAGGAUUAAAAAGAGGGAGGAGAAAUGAAAAAUAUUUUAAAAAAAGAGAUUAAAAAUGAAAUUUUUUUUGAGGAAAUUUUGGAAAUAUUUCAGAGGAAAAAAUCGGUUAAAAAGAGGAAAAAUGAAAUUAUUUUUUAAAAAUUAAAAAGAAAUUGAAUAAAUGAA
rnacentral:lncRNA from 1 species